rnacentral:rRNA from 1 species
GGGUCGCUUUGCUCACGUCAAUGCCUACCCACACAGAGAUGUUUUCCAUUUUUGAAUCUCAACUAUUUUGUCAAGAAGUUUUUAAUUCAUCCCCUUGAUUUCACUCAUCCUUGCCCGAUGCGGACUGUAUACUUUAAAUGUCAGUAGUUUAAAGCUUUGACCCCGGCGACUGUUCGAGUUCUGUCAAAGAGAUUGUUGUGGUGACCCAUGCUCCAAAGCGGUCUUUAAUGACCUAGGGUGCGACGGUCUACCACU